rnacentral:rRNA from 1 species
GACGAACGCUGGCGGCGUGCUUAACACAUGCAAGUCGAGCGGAAAGGCCCUGCUUUUGUGGGGUGCUCGAGUGGCGAACGGGUGAGUAACACGUGAGUAACCUGCCCUUGACUUUGGGAUAACUUCAGGAAACUGGGGCUAAUACCGGAUAGGAGCUCCUGCUGCAUGGUGGGGGUUGGAAAGUUUCGGCGGUUGGGGAUGGACUCGCGGGUUAUCAGCUUGUUGGUGGGGUAGUGGCUUACCAAGGCUUUGACGGGUAGCCGGCCUGAGAGGGUGACCGGCGACAUGGGGACUGAGAGAGGGCCCAGACUCCUACGGGAGGCAGCGGUGGGGAAUAUGGCACAAUGGGGGGAAGCCUGAUGAGGAAACGCCGCGUGCGGGAUGACGGCUUUCGGGUUGUAAACCGCUUUCGCCUGUGACGAAGCGUGAGUGACGGUAAUGGGUAAAGAAGCACCGGCUAACUACGUG